rnacentral:siRNA from 1 species
UGGAAAGUGUUUUAUGUUUCA